rnacentral:misc_RNA from 1 species
AAGUCGUAACAAGGUCUCCGUUGGUGAACCAGCGGAGGGAUCAUUACGAAAGGAGUAUUCACGUACUCUCCAACCCUCUGUGAACUUACCUAUUGUCAGUUGCUUCGGCGGGAGGCCCCUGGGAGGGGCCCCGGGGCCCGGUCCUGAGCCGGGCUCCCGCCGGAGGAGCGCAACCAAAACUCUUGCUGUACCUCAGUGGCACCUCCGAGUAAAAAAACAAAAAACAAGUUAAAACUUUCAACAACGGAUCUCUUGGUUCUG